rnacentral:snRNA from 1 species
GGAUGUGAGGGCAAUCUGGCUGUGACAUCUGUCACCCCAUUGAUCGCCAGGGUUGAUUCGGCUGAUCUGGCUGGCUAGGCGGGUGUCCCCUUCCUCCCUCACCACUCCAUGUGCGUCCCUCCCGAAGCUGCGCGCUCGGUCGAAGAGGACGACCAUCCCCGAUAGAGGAGGACCGUUCUUCGGUCAAGGGUAUACGAGUAGCUGCGCUCCCCUGCUAGAACCUCCAAACAAGUUCUCAAAAAGCUAAGUACAAAUUGCCAAAAACAAAACAAAAAAACCCAGCAACUCUAUUCCUAAAUGUGUAACU